ACCCUUCUCUUUCCCCAUUGUUUCUCUGGUCAACUAGUUCACUUUUCACUCUUAGUCGCUCCUUCCUCUCUCUAGCGCAAAGGACGAAGGCACAUUCAUUUGGUUGGGUUUGUCACCUCUCUUCUCUCUAAGCAGAAUGGUCUAUCUCAGGUUAUGGUUCUGAAGGAUUGUAAUCUUUGUUUCUACUGGUGGUGGUGAUGAUGAUGUUUUGUGUUUGUUGUUUCUGGUGGUGAAUGUCGAUGAUGGUGGUUGAAUUGGUGGUGUGAUAUUGAAGACUCUUUAUUGUUGUAUCAAAUAGUAGAAGACUUACGUGCCCAUUGACAGGUGUUUGCGAAAAUGCCUACUAAAGAUGGACACUUGUGAUCAUACCUCUUGGAUGAUUUUAGAAAGAAAUUCAUGACAGCCAAUCCUUACUUUGGAAAGACUAUUGGUGACGAGGGUGAGUACAAGGACAAGAAGAAUAAAUAUAUGUUGUUUGACAAUGAAUUUAGUAUUUUAUUUUAUUUGUAAUUUUUAUUAGAGUAAAGGAUUCUUUUUUGGGUGGUUAAUUAUUUACUUUGUAAAUAUAGUUAUAUAUUUUUUAAGGUCAAGACGAUUAUGUUUAUAAACAAGACUAUAUGAUUUUUUAGUCAAGUAGUAGUGUUAUAUUUGUUUCGAAAUUUGUUUGAUUAGAUUUGUAAAUACUUUGUAUACGUUUUGUUAUUUUAAUCUACAAUUUUUUAGAUUUGUAUAUAAA